UACAGAGGUCUCAAGCGUUGUUCGGAUUCAUUGGGCGUAAAGGGUGCGUAGGCGGUCGUGCAAGUCGGAUGUGAAAUCUCAGGGCUCAACCCUGAAACUGCAUUCGAUACUGCGUGGCUAGAGUGCUGGAGAGGAGACUGGAAUUUACGGUGUAGCAGUGAAAUGCGUAGAUAUCGUAAGGAAGACCAGUGGCGAAGGCGAGUCUCUGGACAGCAACUGACGCUGAGGCGCGAAAGCCAGGGGAGCAAACGGG
rnacentral:rRNA from 1 species